GAGCUUGACUCACUGGUGGUAGAGCUGGCUAUGCAACGCUUGCUGGUCUCUCAUCUUUGCUGAACUUCAGUAUGUUAAGAGAGGCACCUCGGAGAACUUUUCCUGGGGUUGCUGGGGAGCUGAAUUCCUUCUGCUGACUCCUGCUGUUUCAGCUGAGGCCUGGCUGUUCCUGCUCGGUCAUGCCACCAUUGCUGCUAUCUCAAUACUACUGAACUGGACUGCUGCGGGUGUAUCUGUGAAGUGUUUACAAGUAGACCGAGCUGCCACUGCUGACCUGUGCACUGAACUGCUGAUUCUCUGACAACGCGGAUGGAAUUGGCUCCAAAGAACCAUUUCCAGUUUGUGAUCUAAAAAGAAACCUAAGCAGGUUUCUACUUUUGCUCAUAAAUGAAGAAAGAACAGUUGCAGGACCAAGAAGGAGCCGAUGCCUGGCUUUGCUGUUCCUUUACCUCAGCUGUAAGACGAUCUACACAGCUGCCCAGACCAGGGCUGUGAAUCUAACAUUUGACAAUGAGGAAACAACUAUACUUCAGUGUCCCUGUAUCUGGGGACAGGACUGAAAUAAAGAAAGGAACAUGCGUCCUAGCUCAUGACCGAACCCGGGAAAGGUUUGUCCUCUGAGAACAAUGAGAGGCGCGGGGAGGAGCCAGAGUUUCAAAGAAAAAGACUGCGGGGUGAUACACAGUGUUAUGGUUUGAGGGUGAAGUGUUCCCCAAAGACUCAUGUGGCAAAGGCUUGGUGACCAGUCAGUGGGUUUGGAGGAAAUGAACGGACUACAGGGUUCAAGCUCCUGAGUGGAUUCAGAAAUUGAUGGAUUAUAUAAAUGAGGAGGUGGGGCCUGGUCGGGUUAUGGAAAUGAGGAGGUGGACCUGUUUAGAUUAUGGAAAUAAAGAGGUGGGGCCUGGUUGGAUUAUGAAAGUGAGGAGGUGGGGCCAGAUUGGGUUAUGGAAAUGAGGAGGUGGGGCCUGGCUGGAGGAUGUAUAGUUCCCUGAUGACAAGCCUUUGAUGCCUGAGUCCUAGCAGAGCCUCUUCCUGCCUCAUUUCUGCCCCUGCCACUUGCGGAUGUUCAGCUUUUGGAAAAAAAUUGAGUCAAAAUAAAACCUGCUGCUU
rnacentral:lncRNA from 1 species